rnacentral:rRNA from 1 species
UGGGGAAUAUUGCGCAAUGGGCGAAAGCCUGACGCAGCGACGCCGCGUGGGGGAUGAAGCAUUUCGGUGUGUAAACCCCUGUUGCUCGGGACGAAAAAGCGAUUUUGAUCGCUCUGACGGUACCGAGUGAGGAAGCACCGGCUAACUCCGUGCCAGCAGCCGCGGUAAUACGGAGGGUGCGAGCGUUGUCCGGAAUCACUGGGCGUAAAGGGCGCGUAGGCGGUCUGCUAAGCGUGCGGUGAAAGCCUGGGGCUCAACCCCAGGUCUGCCGUGCGAACUGGUGGACUUGAGCACUGUAGAGGCAGGUGGAAUUCCGGGUGUAGCGGUGGAAUGCGUAGAGAUCCGGAAGAACACCAGUGGCGAAGGCGGCCUGCUGGACAGUUGCUGACGCUGAGGCGCGACAGCGUGGGGAGCAAACAG